rnacentral:lncRNA from 1 species
AGAGCAGAAGACAGUUGGCAGUUAUUUCGCAACCUUCAUCUGUUCCUGGAAGAUACCCGUAGCCUGCCUUCCUUCUUGACAGGCUGAUUUAGGGGUGCUCCCCAAGAAGAUCAGGACUGCUGAAAGAAUGAAGAAGAACUUACUUGGCCUAGGAUGUGGCUAGAGAACGGAGCGCACUUUCACUUACCUGGCAAGGUGGUUUUGGAAGUUUCCACGGAAGCCUUCCCAGGGCCGCUGCUGCCCGUCCUCGCCUAGGUGUGGAGCUUCCCGACCGGCUGGGGAGGGAAUGUCCUGCGGGAGCCGCCGAGGACCCUCUUUAGCCUCUUCCCUGGCUUGGCUGCAGCUGCAGUCUGGUACUCGCCCAUUCUGCUCUUCUUCACCUCCGUAUUUUCUCUCUCACGGAAGAAGAAUUCCAUUCUCCCAUCCCAGGAAGGAGAGUGCCCUGCGUGCCACGAAAGAGCCCAGGACCCACAGGACAAAUACGUCACUGGCAGACCUGCCUUCGCCAGCGCCAGCCCAUCUCUGAAACCUCCAGCAUUUGUGCCCCGGUCCGGCCCCUCCCAGGCCUGACUCUUUCCGUGUGGGUAUUUUCCUCCUGGGCUCGCUGCCGCCUCGCUCCCAUUUCUCCCUUCCCUCCCUAUGGUAACUGAUGAAGGGUUGGGGCUGGUGGAACCCAGAUCUGGGGUCAGAAGUUCCCCUUGUCAAGUCCCAAGUCUUCCAUCUAAGCUGUGUGAUCAUGGGAAAGACACUUUACCCUUUGUGGGCAUGCCCGCUCAACUGGAAAGUGACACAAUCAUAAUGCCCUAAUCCAGAAUUCUUGUGAGAAUGGGAGUAAUUAUGUAAAUAUCUUUGGAAAACAGAUGUGCUGCCAAUUACAUUUUGUGAUUUUAACUUUGUCUUAUUUCUCUGCUGUUUUGUCUUCCUAUGUAUCAAGUUUCUUCUGAUUUUUUUUUUUCUUUUAUAGGAACGGUCACUGCGCAGGAUCAAGCUACAAUGAAGAGGAGGGAGGCAGUCUGCGCGCACCGCCAUUUUCUAGGAACUGGGAAGCCCCCCCACCCCUUAGGAAGAUCCAUCCCUGUGGAACCUUGCCCAGGCUUACCAGCCUUUGCUGAGGUUGAUCUAUUGUCCCUCCUUGUCCCCAUCAAAAUAUCCAGCACUCCACCUUCAGGGAGUAGACUUGACCCUCAAAUAGCAAGUUCAGCCUUCCCAGGUCUAGGUUCCCUGGGAGGUCAAGAUUCGUCUGGUUCCUUAGUACAGAGGGCUAGCUGUGAGUUGGAAUCCCCCUAUGAGCUUUAGAAUCAGUCAAGAGGAAUUGGGCCCCUUCCCUUCAUCCCUCUUCUUUUCCCUUUUUGUCCCAGAGCUCAGCUCUGACUCAAAAGUUUUUCCAUUUACCAUCAACAUGGAAACUUGGCUCCUCACGUAGGUAUAUUAUCCCCCUUUUGUACAUGGUCUUGUUGAUCCAAACUCCCUUUCUGUGAAAGAGGCCUGUGGGGCUCAAGAAGCCUGGUCAGCCAGCCAGGCUAGUCCCACAUACCUCAGAACCAGUUUAAUAAAGGCUCUAUGUCAUUCUUUUUUGCUUGGG